AGUCUCUUAGUAUAAGGUAAGUAUUUUCGACUUCCAAUCGAAGGGUUUUAGAGAUUA
rnacentral:tRNA from 1 species